GACGGAGGGUGCUAGCGUUGUUCGGAAUUACUGGGCGUAAAGGGCGCGUAGGCGGCCCGUUAAGUCGGUUGUGAAAGCCCGGGGCUCAACCCCGGAACGGCAGCCGAGACUGGCGGGCUCGAGACCGGGGGAGGAGGGUGGAAGACCCAGUGUAGAGGUGAAAUUCGUAGAUAUUGGGUGGAACACCGGUGGCGAAAGCGGCUCUCUGGCCCGGUUCUGACGCUCAGGUGCGAAAGCGUGGGGAGCAAACAGG
rnacentral:rRNA from 1 species